GAGAGGCGGCUGUAACUGGGCUCCUUGCUUCCUCGGGCCACCUAAGGGAGCGCUGGCGAGGCGCUGACGCUCGGCUCCGUCGGCCGCGGCCCAGGCUCUCGGCGCGGCCCGGAGCGGCAGAAAUCCUAAAAUUCCAUCAGAAUGACACCUUCUCAGGUCACUUUUGAAAUAAGAGGAACUCUUUUACCAGGAGAGGUCUUUGCAAUAUGUGGAAGCUGUGAUGCCCUGGGAAACUGGAAUCCUCAAAAUGCUGUGGCUCUUAUUAAUGAAAACGAGACAGGAGACAGUGUGUUGUGGAAAGCAGUGAUUGCUCUCAAUAGAGGAGUGUCAGUGAAGUACCGCUACUUCAGAGGCUGCUUUUUAGAACCAAAGGUAUGUUUUCUUUAUAUAUUUUUUUAUUUCUGUAGGACUUUGCAUAGUAACAAAUUUAAGUUUGAAAACAUUAGAAAUAAAAUGAGUAUGUUUUGGUCAAAUAAGAAAUAGAAUUCUUAACAUUUUAGUACC
rnacentral:lncRNA from 1 species